UACGUAGGGGGCAAGCGUUGUCCGGAUUUAUUGGGCGUAAAGAGCGUGUAGGCGGCCAGACAGGUCAGCUGUGAAAACUCGAGGCUCAACCUCGAGACGUCGGUUGAAACCGUCUGGCUAGAGUCCGGAAGAGGAGAGUGGAAUUCCCGGUGCAGCGGUGAAAUGCGCAGAUAUCAGGAGGAACACCAAUAGCGAAGGCAGCUCGCUGGGACGUUACUGACACUGAGGCGCGGAAAGCGUGGG
rnacentral:rRNA from 1 species